rnacentral:rRNA from 1 species
AGAACGAACGCUGGCGGCAGGCUUAACACAUGCAAGUCGAACGGUUGUAGCAAUACAGCAGUGGCAGACGGGUGAGUAACACGUGGGAACCUUCCUAGGGGUACGGAGCAACUCAGGGAAACUUGAGCUAAUACCGUAUACGUCCGUAAGGAGAAAGAUUCAUCGCCCCUAGACGGGCCCGCGUAGGAUUAGGUAGUUGGUGAGGUAACGGCUCACCAAGCCUACGAUCCUUAGCUGAUCUGAGAGGAUGAUCAGCCACACGUGGGACUGAGACACGGCCAGACCUCCGUACGGGAGCAGCAGGUGGGAAUCGUAGGACAAGUGGGCACGAAGCCGUCGGUCCAAGCCAAGUCGGCCGUCGUGGAGUAGGAAAGGAACGGUCCGUUCGGGUUAGUAAAGUCGUUCUUUUUAACCGAGGGACGUAUAAGUGACGGUACCGUAGG